rnacentral:sRNA from 1 species
UCGACGAGAAUGGUGACCGAUGCAUGGAA